UAUUUCAUAUGUAGUAUAGGUGCUCCAAGGAGCUUAAUAGAGAAAUCGGUAUAAGCCGAUGCGGUCACGCCGCUGUAAUGCUGAGUGAGUUUUAUUAAUGUCACUGGGAUGUCCUGGGAAGGCAAAACGAGCUAUGAAGCAGAGCCAGAAGACCUGCCUAUAUUCGUGACAUCAG
rnacentral:ncRNA from 1 species